rnacentral:rRNA from 1 species
UACGUAGGGGGCUAGCGUUGUCCGGAAUCAUUGGGCGUAAAGAGCGUGUAGGCGGUCCGGUAAGUCCGCUGUGAAAGUCGGGGGCUCAACCUCGAAUGCCGGUGGAUACUGUCGGGCUAGAGUGCGGAAGAGGCGAGUGGAAUUCCUGGUGUAGCGGUGAAAUGCGCAGAUAUCAGGAGGAACACCAAUGGCGAAGGCAGCUCGCUGGGACGGUACUGACGCUGAGACGCGAAAGCGUGGGGAGCAAACAGG